rnacentral:lncRNA from 1 species
CCCGGCUGGGCCGCUGCCCCCGGCGCCCUCGUCCUCGGCCCCUGGCUCCGGGAAACCCAGCUGCUCCGCUCGAGUCCCUGCGGACUCCUGGCCGUCCACCUUUGACCCUGCACCCCCACCCCCACCCCCAUCAUCCCGCUGUCCCUAAACUCUGCGCGAACCCGCCGCCGUCCUCACAGAACGCUGGGCUACUUUUGAUUCCAAAGUGAAACGAGCCGAGGUUUGCCUGCCGCACCCAGAACUUUGCCCAAACCCUCUUCUGCACUUUCCCCAGGGCUGCCCCCGGCGAGCCCAGCCCCCGGCUGAGCACUCGGACACUGAUCCCCGGUGCAGAGCUGGGGGAGCACUCAAGGGCUACCAGGUGGUUGGGUGUGGAGUUUUGGCAGCAAGGAGUAAUUAACAUGGAGACAAAAGGCUGCCAUGAAGAUGGAGAUCUAGGCAAACAUAGUGUUCUAGCACCUCUAAUGAUGGAAACAGACAUUUCAGAGUGAAAAAUGAUAACAUGAUUUUUAUGUGACUCAUAUGCAAAAUGAAAUACUUUCAUCUAUGAGGUCGGCUGAUGGGAAAUAAAAUCAGAUAUUUCACUUCUAACUCCGUCAAGCAAAAGAAAAAUCGGUUGUGAUUCCAAGAAGAGAUGAACUCUUGGUAAGGAAAUAUUUGUUUUACAAUUUUCAGAAAGAAUUAUCAAAUAACAUACUGUAAACAAGUCGAAUGCCUAAGCAUAUUCUUUGUUUGUUUUAAAUGAAACCAUAAAUGGUACAUGAGGGAACACAGUAACAUU